UGCAGUGCAGAAGGAAAGUCCGAUUGGUACGGCACAUCACAGGAUGUGCUUCACCUGGGACAUGACUGCCUGCAGAGAGCAAGUGAAUUUUUGUUAGGUUUUUGGGAGACCUGUGAACUCUCUCAAUAGAUCUCCAACCAGCCGCAAUGAAGAACAAACAGAUUUUGUCCCCAGGCUACAACCAUUUCAUUUGCCCACAUACCCCUACUCAGAGCGGUCUGCCUGAAUGAAUACAGCUGUACAGCUGGAACUGAAGUGGAGAAGACAGUCUUUCUUUACAGAGUUCUGUAGCAGGUCCUGUUAUGAAUCACUACGUUUUAACAUACCCCGCCUUCAUGACAAGCUAUCAAAGCACUCACAGCUCCUGUCUAUUUUCCCUACUGUGUAAGGAGAGACCUUCACAGCCAAGGGCUCAGGCUGCUGGGAGGGAAACUUGGUGGGCUCUGUCCCACACACUAUACAAUUUUGGCUGUGUUGGCAAUCUGCCUCAGCUUCUCAGCUGUGAUCAAGGACUACCACAGCACCGGCCUGGAGCGGAGCAAGACCUGGAGCUGCCUCUGAAGUCAACCCGCUAAAAUCAGACGCAAGUCUUCCAAUAAUAAACACUAGCAUACUGAAAAGGGCUCUGAAA